rnacentral:tRNA from 1 species
UGCAUCAGCCGGGAAUCGAACCCGGGCGCCCGCGUGGCAGGCGAGUAUUCUACCACUGAACCAAAAGC